rnacentral:rRNA from 1 species
CCGGUGACGUAUCCUUCAAAUGUCUGACUUAUCAGCUGUCGAUGGUAGACUCUGUGUCUACCAUGGCUCUCACGGGUGACGGGGAAUCAGGGUUCGAUUCCGGAGAGGGAGCCUGAGAAACGGCUACCACAUCCAAGGAAGGCAGCAGGCACGCAAAUUACCCACUCCCGGCACGGGGAGGUAGUGACAAAAAAUAACGAUACGGGACUCAUCCGAGGCCCCGUAAUCGGAAUGAGAACACUCUAAAUCCUUUAACGAUGAUCUAUUGGAGGGAAAGUCUGGUGCCAGCAGCCGCGGUAAUUCCAGCUCCAAUAGCGUAUAUUAAAGUUGUUGCGGUUAAAAAGCUCGUAGUUGGUUCUGCGUGCCACGCUGUCGGUUCACCGCCUGCCGGUGCAACUGGCAUGCCGUGGCAUGUCCUGUCGGUGGCGGAUAGGCUUCACGGCGUGCCCUAUGCGGUAUCACUACCGUGUAGGUGACCGCGCCGCGUUGUCCUUGUACGCCGGCUCAAUCCUGCCGCGGUGCUCUUUACCGAGUGUCGAGGUAGGCCGACACUGUUUACUUUGAACAAAUUAGAGUGCUUCAAGCAGGCUCUUAAAUCAGCCUGGAUAGUGGUGCAUGGAAUAAUGGAACAGGACCUUGGUUCUAUUUUGUUGGUUUACGGAAUUCAAGGUAAUGAUCAAUAAGGACAGGCGGGGGCAUUCGUAUUACGGCGUUAGAGGUGAAAUUCUUGGAUCGUCGCAAGACGCACUAAAGCGAAAGCAUUUGCCAAGUAUGUCUUAAUUGAUC